CCUACGGGUGGCAGCAGUGGGGAAUAUUGCACAAUGGGGGAAACCCUGAUGCAGCGACGCCGCGUGAGUGAAGAAGGAAUUCGUUACGUAAAGCUCUAUCAGCAGGGAAGAAACACUGACCUUACGGUCAGCAGACGGUACCUGAGUAAGAAGCCCCGGCUAACUACGUGCCAGCAGCCGCGGUAAUACGUAGGGGGCAAGCGUUAUCCGGAUUUACUGGGUGUAAAGGGAGCGUAGACGGUGCGCCAAGUCUGGAGUGAAAGUCCGCAGCUUAACUGCGGAACUGCUUUGUAAACUGGCGGACUAGAGUACGGGAGAGGUAAGCGGAAUUCCUGGUGGAGCGGUGAAAUGCUUAGAUAUUAGGAAGAACUCCGAUUGCGAAGGCAGCUUACUAGACCGUAACUGACGUUGAGGCUCGAAAGCGUGGGGAGCAAACAGGAUUAGAUACCCCAGUAGUC
rnacentral:rRNA from 1 species